rnacentral:SRP_RNA from 1 species
UCGUGCUAGACGGGGUGUUAGCGGUACCUUGUUGCCCGCAAUCCGCUAUAGCGGGGUUGAAUCCCCUUAUUAGGGAUUGUAGGGUCUGGUCUGCCCCCGGCAAGUGAUGUUGAUAAUUUGGUCCUGCGCAAUGGAAUGCUGUGAACCCCGUCAGGUCAGGAAUGAAGCAGCGGUAAGCGGAUUUUUUCAUGUGCCGCAGGUAAUCCGGGUUUGAGUUAACUACCAGGGUAACGCGGGUCUUGCUUUUUCGAGUAAGGGUGCACGA